CAGCAGCCACGGUAAUACGAAGGGGGCUAGCGUUGUUCGGAUUUACUGGGCGUAAAGGGCGCGUAGGCGGGCUGAUAAGUCGGGGGUGAAAUCCCAAGGCUCAACCUUGGAACUGCCUUUGAUACUGUUGGUCUUGAGUCCGGGAGAGGUGAGUGGAACUGCGAGUGUAGAGGUGAAAUUCGUAGAUAUUCGCAAGAACACCAGUGGCGAAGGCGGCUCACUGGCCCGGAACUGACGCUGAGGCGCGAAAGCGUGGGGAGCAAACAGGAUUAGAUACCCCAGUAGUCCCUGUCUCUUAUAC
rnacentral:rRNA from 1 species